AGUGAACGCUGGCGGUAGGCCUAACACAUGCAAGUCGAACGGCAGCACAGGAGAGCUUGCUCUCUGGGUGGCGAGUGGCGGACGGGUGAGGAAUACAUCGGAAUCUACCUUUUCGUGGGGGAUAACGUAGGGAAACUUACGCUAAUACCGCAUACGACCUACGGGUGAAAGUGGGGGACCGCAAGGCCUCACGCGAUUAGAUGGGCCGAUGUCCGAUUAGCUAGUUGGCGGGGUAAUGGCCCACCAAGGCGACGAUCGGUAGCUGGUCUGAGAGGAUGAUCAGCCACACUGGAACUGGGACACGGUCCAGAGUCCUACGGGAGGCAGCAGUGGGGAAUAUUGGACAAUGGGCGCGAGCCUGAUCCAGCCAUACCGCGUGGGUGAAGAAGGCCUUCGGGUUGUAAAGCCCUUUUGUUGGGAAAGAAAUCCUGUCGAUUAAUACUCGGUGGGGAUGACGGUACCCAAAGAAUAAGCACCGGCUAACUUCGUGCCAGCCGCCGCCGUAACAC
rnacentral:rRNA from 1 species